rnacentral:rRNA from 1 species
AUGGCAUGCAUGCACUCAAAACUGCUUCCACCAAAGAGGACUGCGAUUGGUACAGAAUAUGAUGGAAAUGACAUUGGUGUGGAACAAUUCCGAGGAGAGAGCGACAUCAUAGCUACCGCCGCUGCCUUCGAGCAAGGUCCCGUCGUCCACAAGCGCUACCUCAUCCACGCCAGUGAUAUUUCACUUCAUCGGCCGUCUGGACUCCAAUCGACUCAAGUGCCCAGUACCAGCUACAACCAAGGGCACUUUCAAGAAGGGAGGGGUGUCAUCACCGUCGCCGUCAUCUCCGCACAAGGCUCCAUCGACCAUGAGUACUACCUCGACUCCGAUCAUCGCUGUGUUGACAAGGGCUACUUCCUCGUCGCCUUCUUAGGUGGGGCUCCAAUUGGCCACAUCAACUGCUCCUACAUCGUCGAAGUCCACCACGGCUUUGGCGACCAUCGUGACUAUGAUCAAAUCAAACAACAUCGACUGCAAUGGGAUUCGGGCGGUUCUGGGUGGUGUCGGCUUGGGGUCAAGCCGAAUUCAAGAAGGGAGGGAUGUCAGGAGCCCUCCCCUGACUGGUACGUGGGCUUACCUCGGGACCGGUACAUGGGCCUGGCCCAUCGGGAGACCAUCGAGCGCUACAAACUACAAGUACCAGGGAGAAGGCAACGCUCUACUCAUCCAGUGGAUCACGAAACCCGGCGGCAGCGGCUAUCUUCUUCCCCUUCCUCCUCCUUCCCCAAUUCUUAUAUCCUGUGA